rnacentral:lncRNA from 1 species
CCAGUGAAACUAGCUCUUCUUAAGGCGAGCCAUUUUGUAAAGCAACAAAAGCCUCUUCACGACCUUCAUCCCCACCACAAUUCUUCCUUUUCUAGUAGAUGCCACAAUUCCUUUGCCUCUCUCAUUCAUCUUCAAGGCUUGCUGCUUCACACAACAAAACUCCAUACUCUUUCCUAAUUCAACCUGUUUGUCAUUUUCAGAAUCUUCGACUUGAAAUUCAUCAUUGAAGUCUUCCCACAACAUGUCCAUUUUUUUCCUCGGCAUGAUCUCCUAGCAAUUCCGAUAAGCUUUUUGUAUGCAAAUUUCGGAUCUUACCGUCGUUAAUAUUUUCGUAGUGAAAAUCUGAAAAAACACGCGAAGAAAUUCGCCACAAAGAUGGAGUAAAGGUUAGAUGAGCA